rnacentral:rRNA from 1 species
AACGAACGCUGGCGGCAUGCCUAACACAUGCAAGUCGAACGAGAUCUUCGGGUCUAGUGACGCACGGGUGCGUAACGCGUGGGAAUCCGCCCUUUGGUUCGGAAUAACAGUUGGAAACGACUGCUAAUACCGGAUGAUGACGAAAGUCCAAAGAUUUAUCGCCAGAGGAUGAGCCCGCGUAGGAUUAGCUAGUUGGUGUGGUAAAGGCGCACCAAGGCGACGAUCCUUAGCUGGUCUGAGAGGAUGAUCAGCCACACUGGGACUGAGACACGGCCCAGACUCCUACGGGAGGCAGCAGUGGGGAAUAUUGGACAAUGGGCGAAAGCCUGAUCCAGCAAUGCCGCGUGAGUGAUGAAGGCCUUAGGGUUGUAAAGCUCUUUUACCCGGGAUGAUAAUGACAGUAUCGGGAGAAUAAGCUCCGGCUAACUCCGUGCCAGCAGCCGCCGUAA